rnacentral:lncRNA from 1 species
CUGGAUUCUCUGAGAAGAAACUGCUUGCCCUCCAAGGAAUGAUAUAGUAGUCAUGUGAAAGAGCUCAUCCAUUAAAGGAGGAGAGGAAGAAGAGAUAUUGGGAUAUGGAGAUAGCUCUUUGUCCACCUGAUAGAAACAAUAGAGAAACGUAGUAUUUCUAGGCAUUUUCCCCAUACAUAAGAGACCCUCCCAAGAUGCCAUCUCUCCUCUGACACUGCCACUACCCUUGUACAGACCCUUAUUGCCUCAGACCUGGACUAUUACAAGAGCCUGCUAGUUGUCUCCCCACCUCAAGUUGCUCUCUACUCUCCUCCAUCCUCCACUCAGUUGUAAAAGCAGUCUUCCUGAAGCUAUUUUACUUUUUUGGGGGUGAGAUAGCAGCCAGAACAUGAAGGAUAAGGAAAUCUGAAGAGGCAAAGAGAGAAAUGAAGGAGCUAAUUUUCUAGGGAAAGGAUACAACAGCUAAGUACACAAAAUAAUUAGAGGACGGAGAACACAGUAACAACUAACCCUGUUGGGAAAAGUGCUAUCUUCACUAAGUCUUGAAGGAAGGAAAAUGAGAAUUCUUUGAGAUGGAAUACUUUCUGGGAAUGGAUUGUGACUUGUUAAGGAGCAGAAUUUGAAUCCAUGUCUUCCUGACUUUAAUUCAUCACUUCAAAUUCAUCACUCUGUCCACUUCACCCAUUUAGAUCCAACAAAGUAUAUCAUAUAGCAAGGCUUAAUGCAAUUCUUUGUAUGUAUCAGACAUAAAACUGCACAGCUUCUUGGAGCCUCAGGAGAAUCAUCUGCACUCAAACUAAUAUUGAUGGGACAGCACGGAAUGAAUUACCCAACCACCCAGGGACAGAAGGCAUGUCUCUACCUGCUAGUCCUUUUCUUAUUACUGGACUUCAGCCCUGAAAGACCCCAACUGUGGUCAGGUACAGAUGCAAUAAGAGCCAGU